rnacentral:lncRNA from 1 species
CAGGCUAGGGGUUCAAUCAAAGCUACAGCCGCCGGCCUACACCACAGCCACAGCAACGCCAGAUCCGAACCAUGUCUGCGGCCCACACCACAGCUCAUGGCAACACCAGAUCCCUAACCCACUGAGUGAGCAAGGCCGCGGAUCAAACCUGCAACCUCAUGGUUCCUAGUCGGAUUCAUUUCCGCUGCACUGGAACAGGAACUCCAAGAGGGCUUCAUCUUCAGGAAGGUACAAGCACAGGUUUCUGAUAAACUUCAGACAAUACCGCUGAAUUUGGUAAAAAAUUAUAAAAUCCUACUGCUUUGCUGUUGGCCUCAAAAAGCAGAUAGUAAAAGGCUUAGUUAUUGAGUAAACUGGUGACUAUGGCUAUAAUGUUUGGUUUAUUUCAUCUGGAAUAUUACUGGUUUUGAUCUGUGUUUUCCAGGAAUAGGGGAGGGCUUCCCCUCAAGCUACUUAUGACCCAGAGCAAUUGGGCAAAUGACACCUCUGUGAAUAAAAUUGAAAUAGUUUUCUUUUCUCUCUGCUUGGUCCCUCCAGAAAUUGGAGACUCUCGGGUUCUGAGCAGGUGUAUCAGGUGAAUAGGAAAGGCUGCCUCCUGGCAUGUGUGUUGAUCUUGCAAUUUUGGGGACUUCCGGAAAGGAGAAACCCACUAAGGCAGAAUCUGAUGGCAGACCCUUGGCAUGGCUUUUCCUGGGCUUGAGAAGCCUUUCGUGCAUUUAGUCUGAGACUCCUGAGGACUUACACCAGGGUUAAUGUGGAGGAGCCUGUGUGGUCAGUGGAGCAGACUUAUUUUGGAAACAAAUUAGACUUGGUUUGGUCGUGUUCAGUGGAGAUGGGGGUAAUUUUAGAGAAAAAGAUUUUGUUUCAGUAGAUGCGAAAUUCUAGUUCUGUCUAUUGAAGUCUGUAUCUAUGAAAGCUAUUGUGUUAGCCACACUUUUGCCCUGAUGUGCAGAAGGAAAAGAAAAUUUUCUAGUGGAAUUAUCCCAGAGUAGCUACUCAUGACAUAGCACUGCUUGCUUUAGGUCUCCUGCUAAAAGCACACGUACAAUACUUGUGUCACUAUUGGGUAUAAAUGGUAAAAAGGUAUGGCCUAUAAAGCAUUUGCUCAUUAACAUACCUCUGAGCUUCUUCAGGAUACUUCAUCAUCCCCCCCCCCCCACCUCUCCUACCCCCAACGUGGAUUAACUAGACAGUUAUAAAGGAGGAGUUCCUGUCGUGGCGCAGUGGUUAACGAAUCCGACUAGGAACCAUGAGGUUGUGGGUUCAAUCCCUGACCUUGCUCAGCAGGUUAAGGAUCUGGCAUUGCCGUGAGCUGUGGCGUAGGUUGCAGAUGCGGCUCGAAUCCCACGUUGCUGUGGCCCUGGCAUAGCUCUGAUUGACCCCUAGCCUGGGACUCUCCAUAUGCUGCAGGACUGGCCCUAGAAAAGGC